AGCAGCCGCGGUAAAUUCCAGCUCCAAUAGCGUAUAUUAAAGUUGUUGCAGUUAAAAAGCUCGUAGUUGAAUUUCGGGAUCAGCAGGUUGGUCUUGCCACUGGUAUGUACUAGCUUGCUGAUUCCUCCUUCUUGUAGAACCGUAAUGCCAUUAAUUUGGUGUUGCGGGGAAACAGGACUGUUACUUUGAAAAAAUUAGAGUGUUUAAAGCAGGCCAGCGCCUGAAUACAUUAGCAUGGAAUAAUGAAAUAGGACGUUCGAACCUAUUUUGUUGGUUUCUAGGAUUGACGUAAUGAUUAAUAGGGAUAGUUGGGGGCAUUAGUAUUCAAUUGUCAGAGGUGAAAUUCUUGGAUUUAUUGAAGACUGACUACUGCGAAAGCAUUUGCCAAGGAUGUUUUACA
rnacentral:rRNA from 1 species